AGAGAUGGAGCUCAAAUGUGCCACUUGUGGGACAGCUUGGGCUGUGCUUCUCUGGAUGUGAAGGAGACCACAGGUGUAAUGCAGAUCUGAGGAGAAAGACAACUGCAUUGUUUCCAGCCCAAGCCGCGGAAAUAACCCAAAGAGAAAGUGGUAACUGGUGGCAUGCUGAGGAUUUUACAUUUCUGAAGAUGUUGAAGCGCUGGGAGACCCCGCAAUUUGACUCCCCACUCCGGCCGGCCCGCAGGGCGGCGCGCACGACCCCCCACCCGUGCCCCGCCCGCUCUCCGCU